rnacentral:piRNA from 1 species
UAGCCUGCUAUGGAGGAUACUCUAGGGGA